UAURGGAGGCAGCAGUGGGGAAUAUUGUACAAUGGGGGCAACCCUGAUCAAACUAUGCUGUGUGAGUGAAGAAGGCCUUGGGGUUGUAGAGUUAUUUCAUAGGCGGAGAAGAUGACGGUAACAUCAGAAGAAGCACCG
rnacentral:rRNA from 1 species